rnacentral:misc_RNA from 1 species
ACCUUCUUCAACACCAUUGUCAAAUAGUGCAAGCAAAGAAUUAUAAUAACCCUCAACAUUUAGCAAACCAACCGGUUUUUUGUGAAUUCCAAGUUGUGCCCAUGUUAUCAUUUCCAGAGUCUCCUCCAUGGUUCCAUAUCCACCUGGAAGUGCAAUAAAGGCAUCAGCCUGAAUAGCCAUUUCAGCUUUCCGCUCAUGCAUGUCCGAAACAAUUUUUACGUCACCAACACUUUCACCUGAUAUCUCAAUAGGCACAAGAGCUUUCGGGAUGACCCCAAGGACAUGGCAACCUCCCUCCUGGACUCUCUGGGAAAUCAAUCCCAUCAAUCCAACACUUCCACCACCAUAGACCAAGUCAAUUUUCCUACUUACCAAUUCAUUCCCCAAAUCAAUAGCAGCAUCACUGAAGACUUUCCUGUGGCCAGGGUUGCUUCCACAGAAAACACAAAUUUUCUUGAACUUGCUUCUACUAUUACUUUCCAUUGAACCCCUUUUGAUUAAAUCUCCAAAAGAACUCACCUUUAUCUUCUUCUUCUUCUUCUUG